rnacentral:rRNA from 1 species
CAAACGGGUGGGGCCUCGAAAUCCUCCGGCGGGAGGAUUCAGUUAGGAAGGGCGGAGGUGGCGUGCGUGGACGGACCCUUUCCGGGACGCRUCGCCGCCGCGGUCUCUGCUCGACCUGACGCAUUUCCUCCCGCGCAAGGACGCCGCAUCCAGUUGGGUAGCUGCGUGAGUCGGCCAUGAGGACGAGCGCUGGAAGGUGGCUGGUGGUGGUGCCUGUGCUCCGCCGUCAGUUGUUAGCCGGUUCGUCCGUGGCGCGACACCUGACUGAGGUUAAUCUGUUCCCUUGUGGGAACUGGCCGCCCUCUCCCUCGAGGAGCGGAUGCUUCGGGAGGUGCUUCCCGGCGUCGCCUCUUCACUCCUUGCAGUGUCUGGCGCGCAGGGUUCACUGUUGGCCGAAAGCUACCGCAGAGGUGCAGAAGGCUGGCGGCGAGUGAGUCGGUCACCCACCCGACCCGUCUUGAAACACGGACCAAGGAGUCUAACAUGUGCGCGAGUCAUGGGGUCUUGAAYAGGCCCAGAGGCGAAAUGAAAGUGAAAGCCGUCGUCCUGUCGGCUGUGUUGGGAUCCCUCGUCCUUUGCGGCGGGGGAGCACCAACGGUCCGUACUGUCCGAUUUAUCGGUUGUACGGAAUCCGAGCGUACACGUUGGGACCCGAAAGAUGGUGACCUAUGCCUGGGCAGGACGAAGCCAGAGGAAACUCUGGUGGAGGUCCGUAGCGGUUCUGACGUGCAAAUCGAUCGUCAGAUCCAGGUAUAGG